rnacentral:rRNA from 1 species
AGAACGAACGCUGGCGGCAUGCCUAACACAUGCAAGUCGAACGAGACCUUCGGGUCUAGUGGCGCACGGGUGCGUAACGCGUGGGAAUCUGCCCUUGGGUACGGAAUAACAGUUAGAAAUGACUGCUAAUACCGUAUAAUGACUUCGGUCCAAAGAUUUAUCACCCAGGGAUGAGCCCGCGUAGGAUUAGCUUGUUGGUGAGGUAAAGGCUCACCAAGGCGACGAUCCUUAGCUGGUCUGAGAGGAUGAUCAGCCACACUGGGACUGAGACACGGCCCAGACUCCUACGGGAGGCAGCAGUGGGGAAUAUUGGACAAUGGGCGAAAGCCUGAUCCAGCAAUGCCGCGUGAGUGAUGAAGGCCUUAGGUUGUAAAGCUCUUUUACCCGGGAUGAUAAUGACAGUACCGGAGAAUAAGCUCCGGCUAACUCCGUGCCAGCAGCCGC